AAUAAACCCUCCCUACACCUUCUCCUAACCCUACCCAAUAAACACUUUUAAUAUUAUUAAACACUCAUUUGCAGCUUAUUUCCUCUUUUAGAACAUUAUUUUCAUUUUUAUUGAAAAUAAAUGUGAGCUUAGCAAAAGGCAGAUUUGAACCUGCAUCAAAAGCCAGAACUCCCUACUCGCUACUGCUGUGUCACUGAAGACGUUGCCUUCUGUGCUUCUUUUUUAAAACUUGAGUGGCCCAAAAGCUAGUGUAAAUAGCGUUUGCCAACAAGGGACGCUAUUUGCACUUUAUGUAAAUAGACACUCUGAAAUUUAAAAGGUGUAACUGUUGUGUUUUUGAGAGAGAAAGGAACUAAGUUUUCAACUCCUAAAACAUUUUGAUGACUUCACUGAAAUAUUGUCUACUCCUUCCACUGUCAGUUGCUCAGUUUCACUACAAUAAUGCUAGAUAUAAUACAGCAUGUGCAUAAUUGAGUCGCUAUUCUAACAGAUGGGGGCUAUAGACUUAUAAUAAAUGAGCAAUAUUAUAAUAAAUAUGCACAUUGCUUUCUGUACUCAGUUUUAUUUUUACGCUGCUAGAGAACCACCUGCACUGCAAAUUUUCAGGAGUGACAUUCGCAUUUAUCCAAUUACAGGAGUGAAUCCGUUAAAUCAUUGGGGCACUUCAUGAAUUGACACUGGUUUACAUUUAGAUAAAGAUGAAAUAUUUUAAUUUUGAUAUAAAUGUCAAUAAUAAUUAUGAAAUAAAUUUAAAUAUUCAUAAACCUUGAAAUUAAAAAAGUAAUUAAAAAUAUAUAUUUUAUUGUCCAUUGUAUUGAAAUUGUGGGUUACAUCUUUGUCACCCUUUUCACCCCUGAUGAGUUUACAUUCCUGUUACAAGAGCAAGGAACUUACAUUUUAAUUGCACAGGAAAACCAAUUCAUCGUCUAUAUUCUUCUGUCCUCCAUUUUUAAGGGUAAGAUUUUUUUAUAAAUCAUCUACUGAUCCAUAUGUCUUUAUUUUUGUUGAACACAAAAGGAGAGAGUCAUAAAGUCUCAGUCACAGUUAGAAAAGAAGCAGUGAUAGUGAAUUCUGACUCAGGCUGUCAGUCUCUUGAUGUUCUGCCUUACAUCUCCUUUUGUGCUCCAAUAAAAAUAACACAUUUGGUACAAAAGAACAUGACCAGUUUUAUACUUGAGUAAAUAUUGGUUUUAAUUUGUAGCAUGAGACUAUUUAUAAUAGCUAAUAAUUAACUUGUAUACCUCUUUGUGUGUAUUUGAGAUUAAAUGCCUUUUCUAUGUUAGUCUUGUAUAGAAGGUUUGUAUGCUCUAACGAUGUAGGCUAUUUGUAACUGUAUUUUGUAAAUAUUAAAGCAAUGUUAACUGAAUGUGAUGUGUGAUUAUUUUGUAAACAGGCUUAUCUUUUAGUAUUAAGUGUUUGAGAUUUUUAAAAUAAGUAGAAAAUGUGUUAACUGUGUAUAGAGUUGUUUCACCCAAAUGAAAUCAACAUCAACGUUGGGUAAAGCAAACCAGUUAGAUCGAUUUCAUGUUGAAUUCGUGUUGAUCUACAACGUCGUUUCACUCAGCUGAAAUCAACAUCGUUUCGACGUUAGGUAAGCAAACCAAUUAGAUCGAUUUUAUGUUGAAUAUGUGUUGAUUCUACAAUGUCGUUUCAACCAUCCGAAAAUCAACAUCGUUUCAACGUUCGGUAACCAAACCAAUUGCGUCGAUUUUCCGUUAGAUUUGAAUGGAGUUUCUGACGUUGAUUCAACAUUACCCCGAUGAGCAAACUGAUGCCGGAUCAACGUCGGAGAUCAACGUCGUUUCGAUGUCACGAGAAACGUCGUUUCUACGUUGAUUCUAUGUCAGUUUGCUAUCUGGGUCACUACUGGUAUUUAUGAACAACAACAGAGCUGAUAUUUUCUGACAUUACUUGUAAUGUUAUUUAAAGUACAUUGUGAUUAAUUAUUUGCUUGUUACAUAUACGUGCAACAUUUCAGCCGUGAAUAAAUUAUAAACGUUAGCUAGAUUACCCAGCUAACAAUGACCUGGCGGUCCGCCAGCGUUUUUUGGGCGGCACAAAUUCAGCGGCUAGACGCGGUCGGACCACCGUCGGCACACCAUCGGCAAGCCGACCAAUCGGAAAAUGCCGUCGGUCUGCCAGCGUUUUUUGGGUGGCACGCCACCAGCGGUUUGCCACUGCUGGGCCACCGUUGGUACACCAGUGGCAAACUGAUAGUCGGUCCAGUUUCUACUGAGCGCUUACAGGACAUCUUUUUUGAUAAGUUUGUAUUUAUCUUAUAUUUAUUGCAGUUACAAAAGAAUCCGAAAGCACUGAAUAAAAAAAUAUUGAGACUAACCUAAUAUCUAUAUCAAAAGCUUGGUAUAACUGCCUAUAAGCACGCUUUCAAACAAAAUAACAUGGUUAAAUGAUUGUAAAAACAACAAUAAAUAAUUAAGUUAUAAAAGUUUAAGUUAUACAAUUAUUAAGUUAUAAAAGUGCCACAAUUGUUCCACUAUCACGUGCUGGGGGUGGCAUUUUGCUCCUAUGAACGGGUUACAAAACUACAAAAUGAGUUUUAAAUUCAUGAUUUAAUAUUAAUGAGAUUUUUUUUAUGUAAUGUUUUAAUUCUAGGUGUUUAUUUAUGUAAAUACUGCAUGACUGUGACGUGUUUUAUUGCGCGUGCGCGCCGAACAUUCGAACCGCUUUCAAACACUGGAGCUGCGCAAAGUUGCCAUGGAAACGGACAAACAACAACUGACAAGCAGCAAAAACAGCAGUCUCUCGCUGUUGUUUUCACUUCUUUCAGAAACGAUUUAGUGUCUUCGAAAAACUCCGUUAGCAUCUCCGUUAGCAUCCCGUUUUCAGAAGAGCAAAAUAGCCCCUCUACAACAGAGGGGAAGCUCCGAAGAUUUCAACAUUUCUGAAGGAAGCUGCUGACAGAAGGAGACACAGGUGAGCUGAGGAAACCCACCAAAUAACUCCAUACAUUUCUUCCACAAUAUUUUUCACCUAAACCAUGCAUCUGUCAUUUUCUUCUUUUUUAUUUUCUCAAAUUUACAUUUUUUAUUUAAUUUUUUUUAAAAGGCUUUGACAUCCAAAUGUAAGUGACACUGUAUGAGCAAUAUUUAAUGAAUAAGUAAACCUAAAAAAACAUAAAUUCUGUUAUUUUAUGUGUAUUCUUCUUUUUCUUCUGUAGCUUCUUUUCUUUUAAUAAACCUGGCAUUGAAUAAUAAUAUUGUUGGGUCUGUGACUAAUUGUUUAUGUUCCUAGAUACUUUCAUUACCUGUCUAGCGAUGUAUGUUUAUGCUGAAAUAUAAUAAAAUAACGGUUUGUAUUUUAAAAAACAUCUAUCGCGCAUUGUUAUGUGUAGUGAGUUGGCUCACGUGAU